ensembl:lncRNA
GGGGUUAACACCAGUGGUAUAUCUGAGUGUUGAUUCUAGUGGGGUUAACACCAGUGGUAUAUCUGAGUGUUGAUUCUAGUGGGGUUAACACCAGUGGUAUAUCUGAGUGUUGAUUAAGAUGGCUUUAUAUAUAGUUAUAAAUCCGCGAAAGGCUUUGCUAUACUAUUUUACCAUAUAUACCACCAUCCAAAGUGGAGAGCUCCAUGAUUGAAGCUCUGUAGGUUACAGUGGAGUAGACCCUAGUGGGAGGGGGAAUAGGUUACAGUGGAGUAGACCCUAGUGGGAGGGGGAAUAGGUUAUAGUGGAGUAGACCCUAGUGGGAGGGGGAAUAGGUUAUAGUGGAGUAGACCCUAGUGGAA